rnacentral:rRNA from 1 species
GACGAACGCUGGCGGCGUGCUUAACACAUGCAAGUCGAACGGAAAGGCCCUGCUUUUGUGGGGUGCUCGAGUGGCGAACGGGUGCGUAACACGUGAGUAACCUGCCCUUGACUUUGGUAUAACUUCAGGAAACUGGGGUUAAUACCGGACAGGAGCUCCUGCUGCAUGGAGGGGGUUGGAAAGUUUCGGCGGUUGGGGAUGGACUCGCGGCUUACCAGCUAGUUGGUGGGGGAGUGGCUUACCAACGCUUUGACGGGUAGCCGGCACGAGAGGGUGACCGGGCACCAUGGCACUGAGGGAGGGAGCAGAGUCGAACGGGGGACAAUGGGCGGAAGUCUGGCACAGUGAGAGCGAGCGGGUGGCGAAAGCCUUGGGGGCGUAAUGACGGCUUUUGGGGUAAGAAAAGCAUUCGCCUGAGACGAAGCGUGUGUGACGGUAAUGAAUAAAGAAGCACCGGCUAACUACGUG